GGAGAGUUGGCAGAGUGGUAAUGCAACGGACUCGAAAUCCGUCGAACCGGCUUAUGCCGGCGCGCAGGUUCAAAUCCUGUACUCUCCU
rnacentral:tRNA from 1 species